rnacentral:lncRNA from 1 species
ACAGGAAGCUUAAAUGCAUAUUGCUAGAUAGAAGAACCAAUCCGAAAAGGCUACUUUCUCUAUGAUUCCAACUACGUGACUUUCUAGAAAAGGCAAAACUAUGGAGAUGGUAAAAAGAGAAAAGGAUUUCUGCUUUCAAAUCCACUGUUUCCUGAGGCUGGGUGCUGAGUUCAGCUGCCCCUGGAGGAGCAGCAGCUCUGGGCCGCUGGCAGGGCCACAUCCUCUUCAGUCUGGACAAAUUCCCUGCAGCCAGGGGAAGCGGCCCAUGCCGGCUGUCCUGGUAUGCAACAUCGGACCCGCAUGCUGGAAUUUGACCCUUUUCCUGCCUGACACCCAGCAAAAUAAACCCCAGGGAAGGGAUCAAUGUCUGCAACCGGAAUCCAGAAGAAAGAGGAGUGACAGAUAAGCCCUGGGUCAGAGGCCAGUGAGGUCAGGACCUCCCAGGGACGGACGCACAGCCCAAGGUUUGGGUGUGAGAUUUCAGAGCCCCAGGUAAUAAAAAUAAAAGAGUUAAGGUGCCUAGCAGCUCAGUCCCUCACAGUGCUACCUGGGGCAAGGAUGGAAAUUCACCUCAGUUUGCUGUGGUUGCUAUUGGCUGAAUCAUGUCCUCCCAAAAUUCAUAUGUUGGAGUGUACCUCGGGAUGUGGUACCUCAGGAUACCUCAGUACCUCGGGAUGUGGCGUUGUUUGGAGAAAGGGUCGCUAGAGAGGUAAUUAAGUUAAAAUGAGGCCAUGAGGGUGGGCCCAAAUCCAAUUUAAUUGGCAUCCUUCUAAAAAGGGGAAAUUUGGACACAGAGAGAGACACAAACAGGGAGGGCGCCCUGGGAACAGGAAGGCGGCCACCUCCAAGCCAAGGAGGUCCUGGAGCAGAUCCCCGUCUCAGAGGUCCAGUGGGAACCACCCCUGCCCAACCUUCAUUUUGAACUUCUGGCCUCCAGAGCUGUGAGACGAUACACUUCUGUGGUUUAAGCCGUGUAGCCUGUGGCACUUGGUUAUAGCAGCCCCAGGAAACCCAACACAGUGGCCAAAACAGAGAGGACAGCUGGCUUGCUAACGUCACACAGCGCACUGUCGAGAGCAGGGUCUUCAACUCACCACUCAGGGACCCAGUAGUCAGGGGUGAGGGGGAAUGCCCUUCCAAUAUGGCCAGAGCCAGACUGUCUGGGCCCAAUCCCCAGCUUUGUAUGUAUUACUUAACCUCUCUGUGCCUCAGUUUACCAAGCUAUAAAAUGGGCAUAAUGACAGCACCUGCCUGGUGAUGCUCUUGGAGGGAUGAAAGGAGGCGAUGAUGUGGGCAUCUGGACGGCACCACGCAUUGCCCUGAGAGCUGGCCAUGCGGGGAAUGCUCCAUCCUCACGCCAGCCAGGUGUUGCCACCCCUCUCUUGCUGAUGGAGACCAGGAGGGUCGGGACAGAAGGCCUUGCCCAAGGUCUCACAGCCAGGAGCCUGCCUCCACUGGUCCCUGUGUGGCCAGUGCUGCCCUGGGGGCUGCUGCUGUGCACUGGAGGGGCAGCUGCAUGGAGGAGCCAGAGGAGAUGGUGCCGAGGACAGAGCUUGCGGCCCUGCACCUGGCUCCCAGAGGAAUGGGUCUUGGAGCUGCUCUGCACAGACCCUGACCUUGAGGAGAGACAGAGGCACCACUCCCUCCUCCACUCACUCAGGUGAGCAUUCAAAGCGUCAUAGGUAACCAGGAGCACUAGUUGGCAUGGCGAUUUCAGAGGUGAGUCCAAUGUGGACCCUGGCCCUGGGAAGGUCACAGUUUGAUGGAAGAUGCCAGACUCACACAUUCACUCACUCACUCAUUCCCUCGUGUAUUCAUUCCGCAAAGCUUCACUCAUUACCUACCUGGGGCCAGGACUCAGUCUUAGAGCCAAGGAGAGCGUGGUUGGGAGGAGACUCAGAUGCUUUCCAGCAUCCCUGCCCCCAGGUGUCUACACACCUGUGUGCUCCCCAACUUGGAGUGUGGCAGGGCUGCAAAGAGGGUGGAUGUGCUCCCGUGGUGAGGUUACUUUAUAUGGCAAAGGUGCCGGACUUCUGCAGGUGUAAUUAAGGUCCUAACCAGCUGACCUUGAGUUAAUCAAAAUGGAGAUGAUCCUGGGUGGGCCCAAGCUAAUCAGGUGAGCCCUUUCAAAAUGGCCUUGAAGUCAGAGACUCUCCUGCAGGAUUCGGAGAUCCAGCCCCAUGAGGAACAGGGGCAAGGAAAUGCAAUCUUCCACAACCGAGAGAGCUUGGAAGAGGGUCCCAAACCUCAGAGGAGACCCCAGCUCCGGCUGGCACCUUGACUGCAGCCCCAUGAGACAGAAGACCCAGCUAUGCCAUGUCCUGGCUCCUGACCUGCCCAAACUUUAAGACAAUAGAUAAAUGCCAUUUUAAGCUUUU